AGAGUUUGUAGCUGAUUUGGGGAUGAGUCUGAGUACUGUCAAACCUGGACAGUCGAGUGAAAUCCUACUUAUUCAGGUUCAUGGAAAGAAAACAAUUAAAAACAUCCAUCAAGAUAUUGAAAUGAUCCAUGGGAAGUAUGUACCCUAUCAGUUCUUGGUGUACUGGUUGCUUAUUAUGUAUGUAAUAAAUCAAGCUUGCAGAUAUUCAUAACUAAAUUUCAGUUUACCUUGUAUACAUUAUAUGAACCCAAUGUGUAGAGAAAAAAGCUUUAGUUUUAUAAAUUGAGCUUUAUUUUGGUUUUUGAA